CAGCACCUCAAGUGGUCAGGAUGAUUAUUGAGCCUAAAGCGUCCGUAGCCGGACUAGUAAACCCUUGGGUAAAUUGGGCAGCUUAACUGUCCAAAUUCCGAGGGGACUGCUAGUCUUGGGACCGGGAGAGGUCAGAGGUACUCAAGGGGUAGGGGCUAAAUCCUGUAAUCCUUUGGUGACCACCAGUGGCGAAGGCGUCUGACUAGAACGGAUCCGACGGUAAGGGACGAAACCCUGGGGCGCGAACCGGAUUAGAUACCCGCGUAGUCC
rnacentral:rRNA from 1 species